rnacentral:ncRNA from 2 species
UAAUUUUAACGAUUCGAUGGUGUAAGUUUUUGAUGAACUUACUUAAAAGGGAAAUCGGUGUAAAUCCGAUGCUGUCCCGCAACUGUGAAGCGGAGUGUAUGAACGAUAUGCCACUGUUCAAUGAACGGGAAGGUGUUGAUACAUGAUGAGGCGAAGCCAGGAGACCUGCCACCGAAGAUUGAUUUCA